rnacentral:rRNA from 1 species
CUCCUUUAGAGUUUGGAUCCUGGCUCAGGACGAACGCUGGCGGCGUGCUUAACACAUGCAAGUCGAACGAUGAAGCCUUCGGGUGGAUUAGUGGCGAACGGGUGAGUAACACGUGGGCAAUCUGCCCUGCACUCUGGGACAAGCCCUGGAAACGGGGUCUAAUACCGGAUAAUACUGUGCCCCUCAUGGGGGACGGUUGAAAGCUCCGGCGGUGCAGGAUGAGCCCGCGGCCUAUCAGCUUGUUGGUGGGGUAAUGGCCUACCAAGGCGACGACGGGUAGCCGGCCUGAGAGGGCGACCGGCCACACUGGGACUGAGACACGGCCCAGACUCCUACGGGAGGCAGCAGUGGGGAAUAUUGCACAAUGGGCGAAAGCCUGAUGCAGCGACGCCGCGUGAGGGAUGACGGCCUUCGGGUUGUAAACCUCUUUCAGCAGGGAAGAAGCGAAA